GGAUACACUUCCUUCCCUUUUCCCUAGUUCUAAGGUUCCACUCGAGGUUGAGUAAUGGAAAUAAUUUGAAGGAAACUUCAUAAUCUCCAAAGUUAUCAAUGUAACUCCUUUCCAGGUCUUGGCUACCUGAUUGAGAAAGUGAGGUUGCGUUCCUUAAUUCCUUUGGACCAAAAAUACGGAACAAAGCCGAACAGUUUUCAUGAUGGCGAAUAAUUUUUCACCCUUCUUCCAGCAGUGACUGAAUUUGAGGUAAAUUACCAG